CAGCCGCCGCGGUAAUACGUAGGGUGCGAGCGUUAAUCGGAAUUACUGGACGUAAAGCGUGCGCAGGCGGUUAUAUAAGACAGAUGUGAAAUCCCCGGGCUCAACCCGGGACCUGCAUUUGUGACUGCAUAGCUAGAGUACGGUAGAGGGGGAUGGAAUUCCGCGUGUAGCAGUGAAAUGCGUAGAUAUGCGGAGGAACACCGAUGGCGAAGGCAAUCCCCUGGACCCGUACUGACGCUCAUGCACGAAAGCGUGGGGAGCAAACAGGAUUAGAUACCCCCGUAGUCCCUGUCUCUUAUAC
rnacentral:rRNA from 1 species